GAUGAACGCUGGCGGCGUGCUUAACACAUGCAAGUCGAACGAUGAAGCUGGAGCUUGCUCCGGUGGAUUAGUGGCGAACGGGUGAGUAACACGUGAGCAAUCUGCCCUUGACUCUGGGAUAACUGCGGGAAACUGUAGCUAAUACCGGAUACGACGCCUUGGGGCAUCCCACGGGCGUGGAAAGAAUUUCGGUCAAGGAUGAGCUCGCGGCCUAUCAGCUAGUUGGUGAGGUAAUGGCUCACCAAGGCGACGACGGGUAGCCGGCCUGAGAGGGUGACCGGCCACACUGGGACUGAGACACGGCCCAGACUCCUACGGGAGGCAGCAGUGGGGAAUAUUGCGCAAUGGGCGAAAGCCUGACGCAGCAACGCCGCGUGAGGGAUGAAGGCCUUCGGGUUGUAAACCUCUUUUAUCAGGGAAGAAGCGAAAGUGACGGUACC
rnacentral:rRNA from 1 species